GUAGGUUAGUCAUAAAGCCACAUUCACUCUCUUGCUUUCUCUGUCGCAUGCACUCUCUUGCCCUUCCACCUAGUUUCCAUGUUAUGAUGCAGCAAGAAGGCCCUUGCCAGAUGUGGCUCCUGGAUUGUGGACUUUUCAGCCCCCAGAACUGUGAGCCAAACAAACUUCUUUUGUUCAUAACUUCCCCAGUCUGUGAUAUCCUGUUACAGCAGCAGAAAAUGGACUAAGACACCCAGGGAUGUACCUGGAACCUGGAAAAAGGGGCAGAUCUGCAUCACGGGCUUGCAUGUCCAAUUUCACCUUGGCACUUGCUUCUCCGAGGGUCUGGACAUGGGGCUUCGUUUGAGUCUGGAAGCAGUGGAGAGGGGCCAGAAGCUCCAGGCCUUGGCUUGGAGAUCUCUACAGGUGUGCAUGGAGAUGUUUGAAGUGCUAAUGGCUGAGACAGAGCAAGUGGCAGAGGCCUAGGAGACGGAGGCUGAAAGAGUCUGAGGAGGAAAGGAGGCACUGAGGGACUCACAUGAAGCUACUCUGUCAGCAUUCUAAAACUUCUGACAUUCUUUUCUAUGAAGAUAAUUGAAUCACCAAAUUUGAUGAAAUGUUCCCCAAAUAUCAGGUAACAGAUUUUCUGUGGGGGUCUAUGGAUACACUUUAAAGUCAAGGAGAAAAUUUUUGGAUUGUUUUCCAGCGUGGACUAUUUCUUCACUGACAAGGAUUUAAAAACAAUAAAGCAUUGUACAUCGACAGAAAACAUGACACAUGUGGACCUUUCUGUAGAAGAACACAUUGCAAUCUGAAAAUCUAGAGAAUAUAAACUUGUCUUGAACAUUGUCCAAGAAAUUUUACUUAACAAAUUACUGAAGAGUCUGAGUCAUUCCAUGUUAGAGCAUAUCUUUGGUGAUACUCUUAUAGUAAG
rnacentral:lncRNA from 1 species